rnacentral:misc_RNA from 1 species
AAGAAUCAAAUCAAAUCCAAAAAAUAUCCCUGCACAUGCGGACACGCCACUCCGGAUAAAUAAAACACCAAUGAGAUGGCUUUGCCACGUGUGGUCCACACCAUCGGUUGCUUCAUCGCCGUCAAGGCCCAUGGGCUGUGUUGUUUCGUUUCCUCCACCUGAUGCGCAUAGGGAGUUUGACGAACCUUUGGCCCAUGGAAUUGUUUGCCCCCUUGAUCAUUUAGAAGGAAUCCGCGAUGCUGCGCCUCCGUCAUGCAAUGCCGACCUGGUCUGGCUUCAGAGAGUUGUGUACCAACAAAAAAAGCACGGCAUAUAACCUCAAUUAGUUAGCUAAUUAGAGGACAUAUCAAGUGAAAACUGCAAACUUAUUUAGGUACAAGUUUCUUCUGCCUCUGAAGUCAAAGAUAGAACUAGAAUAAAAAUUUAGCUUACUUAUACUCCCUCCGUUUUCAAAUUAGUAUUUGUUUUGGCUCUUGGUUUGUAAUGAUUAUAUUUAAAUGGAUGAUGAUAAAUAUAGACACAAACAAAAUACAUACAUUAAUUAUUGUAUGAAUCCAAUUAAAAAUCUAAAACAAAUUUUAAUUUAGGACCGAUGUAGUCCUUAUAUAUAUAGUGCCCCCCUUUUCCUUUGGUCUUAUCGUAUGACCCUUGUCCUGUAAGCAGGGCCAGAG